GUCCACUCGAGUAAGAUGAAGAAGGUUAAUUAACUUAAAUAUGUGAAUUUAAUGAUUUGAAGCAUCUCAUUAUCGAUUGAUAAAUGUGUAUAUACAAGAAAAUCGUCUUUAUGCUUAAAUAUAAGAUAACGGAAUUCUUCCAAAUUCACUGCCGUUAUGGAUUUAUGUCCACUUCAGUGAGAUGAAGAAGGUUAAUUAACUUAAAUAUGUGAAUUUAAUGAUUUGAAGCAACUCAUUAUCGAUUGAUAAAUGUGUAUAUACAAGAAAAUCGACUUUAUACUUAAAUAUUAGGUUGUGGAAUUCUUGCAAAUUCACUGCCGUUAUGGAUUUAUGUCCACUUCAGUGAGAUGAAGAAGGUUAAUUAACUUAAAUAUGUGAAUUUAAUGAUUUGAAGCAACUCAUUAUCGAUUGAUAAAUGUGUAUAUACAAGAAAAUCGACUUUAUACUUAAAUAUUAGGUUGUGGAAUUCUUGCAAAUUCACUGCCGUUAUGGAUUUAUGUCCACUCGAGUAAGAUGAAGAAGGUUAAUUAACUUAAAUAUGUGAAUUUAAUGAUUUGAAGCAUCUCAUUAUCGAUUGAUAAAUGUGUUUAUACAAGAAAAUCGACUUUAUACUUAAACAUAAGGUUGUGGAAUUCUUGCAAAUUCACUGCCGUUAUGGCUUUAUGUCCACUUCAGUGAGAUGAA